ACGGAAGGCAGCAGUGGGGGAUAUUGCACAAUGGAGGGAACUCUGAUGCAGCGACGCCGCGUGUGGGAAGACGGUCUUCGGAUUGUAAACCACUGGCUUUGGGGACGAUAAUGACGGUACCCAAGGAGGAAGCUCCGGCUAACUACGUGCCAGCAGCCGCGGUAAUACGUAGGGAGCGAGCGUUGUCCGGAAUUACUGGGUGUAAGGGGAGCGUAGGCGGAAUGACAAGUUGGAUGUUAAAUAUAUCGGCUUAACUGGUAUCUGCAUUCAAAACUGCCGUUCUUGAGUGAAGUAGAGGUUGGUGGAAUUCCUAGUGUAGCGGUGAAAUGCGUAGAUAUUAGGAGGAACACCAGUGGCGAAGGCGGCUUGCUGGACGACAACUGACGCUGAGGCGCGAAAGCGUGGGGAGCAAACAGGAUUAGAUACCCUGGUA
rnacentral:rRNA from 1 species